AUUUUACGAAAUUCGACGCCUAAGGGGGUAAAACAGGGGUUGAAUAGAAUAGAACAGAAUAAGGACAGAACAGAAUAGAACAGAACAGAACAGAAUAGAAUAAGAACAGAACAGAAAUCUCCGAAACUAUAACACCUACAAACUUGAAAUUUAGCAGGUAGGCUCCUUAUAGAUCGUAGACAUUCGCUAAGAACGGAUUUUACGAAAUUUGACCCCUAAAGGGGUAAAACAGGGGUUGGUAGUUUGUAUCAAAGUCCUAUGCUUUUGAAGUAAGAGACUUGAAAUUUGAACAAAACUAAACAGAAUAAAGAACAAAAUAGAAUAGAACAGAACAGAAUAGAAUAGAACAGAAUAAGGACAGAACAGAAUAGAAGAGAACAGAAUAGAAUAGAAUAGAACAGAAUAGAACAGAAUAUAACAGAA
rnacentral:misc_RNA from 1 species